UUUCAAUAAAUCUUCAAAGACAAAGGAAUCUGCUGCAGCAUCAUGUGGGAUUGACUUCCAUCCUCUUUUGCAAAGAACUGAUGAUGAAAAUAGUGACGUUGCCACAGCAUGCUCCAAUACUCACCAAUUUGUUUGCUUGGGAGGCAAAUCUGCUCAAUUUCAAAAUACUUUAGAUGCUGUUCAGACUACAUCACUGGUCAAUAGUAGUCCAUCUGCUACUGGCUCAAAAGCCUCUGUUCCGAAUGAGAAAGCUAAUGAACUGGACUUGGAAAUCCAUCUAAGUUCUACGACCAGAAAAGAGAAAACUAAGGAAAGUAGAGAUUUUGGUGCAAAUAAUGAACCAAAGUCAACAAUAAGUGCACCAAAUGCUGGAAAUACAAUUGAAAAGCACAAAACUAACAAUUCAUGUCACCAACAAAACGGUGCUAGUGCUGAUGCGUCAAUUGUCCCAAGCAAUAAUGACAGCGGCUGCAACAUGGAUGACCUAGGGGACCAGUCUCACCCAGAGAUUGUGAUGGAACAGGAAGAGUUGAGUGACUCUGAUGAAGAAAUUGAAGAACAUGUAGAGUUCGAACGUGAGGAGAUGGCUGAUUCUGACGGGGAGGAGGGUUUGGGCUGUGAACUAGUUGCAGAGGUGCACUAUAAGGACCUUCCAAGUUUGGCAACAGAAAAAAUUGCAACUGAUGCAGAUUGUGGUGAUAAACAAUGUGAAUGGAGUAGUCCUGUUCAUCCUCAGAGCAAUACUUCUAUCCCUGGGAAAGGCAGUCCUUUCUUAGAGUUGGGUCUGACAAGCCUGGGGAAGGAUGCUGCUAGCAGCUCUUGGUUAACUCUAGAAUCAUGUGCGACUGUUGAUCCUCCAAGCAGAAAGGAUAAGCAUGAAGAGUGUGCAAUGAGUGUUUGUCCUAUUGCCAAAAACUUAGCUUCAUGUCGUCCCAAUAGAUCUUGCAGGAAGACAACACCAAGCAUGAAAACAGUUGCAACAGAGAAGGAAGUUACGGACAUGGCACAACAACUCAGCCUUGGUCCUCUCGCUGUUUCCUCAUUGAAGAAACCCAGGAAACGAUCUUGUCGAACAAAUACAAGUUUGAGCACAGGAAUGACAACUGAAAAUCCCAGAUACGAUCAAGAGAAGCUGGGUUGACUUUGCUUUGUCACUAACUCUUUUACCAUGAAGCUUUUCUGAUUUGUAUGCCCACUGGAGAUAUGCUAUGAAUAGGAGGGGGUAGCUUUUUGUGUUAAUUAUUUGUGAAUUAAAAUUAGUAAAUUUUAUCAUUUAUUCUAGGGUUAUGUACAUGUGAUAUUUUGCUUGUAGAUAGAUUCUGUUAACACUCCCAAUUUGCUUAAAACGGGUUGUUGUGAAGGAUAUUGGUAAU
rnacentral:misc_RNA from 1 species